rnacentral:rRNA from 1 species
AGAGUUUGAUCCUGGCUCAGAUUGAACGCUGGCGGCAGGCCUAACACAUGCAAGUCGAACGGUAACAGGAAGAAGCUUGCUUCUUUGCUGACGAGUGGCGGACGGGUGAGUAAUGUCUGGGAAACUGCCUGAUGGAGGGGGAUAACUACUGGAAACGGUAGCUAAUACCGCAUAACGUCGCAAGACCAAAGUGGGGGACCUUCGGGCUUCAUGCCAUCAGAUGUGCCCAGAUGGGAUUAGCUGGUAGGUGGGGUAACGGCUCACCUAGGCGACGAUCCCUAGCUGGUCUGAGAGGAUGACCAGCCACACUGGAACUGAGACACGGUCCAGACUCCUACGGGAGGCAGCAGUGGGGAAUAUUGCACAAUGGGCGCAAGCCUGAUGCAGCCAUGCCGCGUGUGUGAAGAAGGCCUUCGGGUUGUAAAGCACUUUCAGCGGGGAGGAAGGCGGUGAGGUUAAUAACCUCACCGAUUGACGUUACCCGCAGAAGAAGCACCGGCUAACUCCGUGCCAGCAGCCGCGGUAAUACGGAGGGUGCAAGCGUUAAUCGGAAUUACUGGGCGUAAAGCGCACGCAGGCGGUCUGUCAAGUCGGAUGUGAAAUCCCCGGGCUCAACCUGGGAACUGCAUUCGAAACUGGCAGGCUAGAGUCUUGUAGAGGGGGGUAGAAUUCCAGGUGUAGCGGUGAAAUGCGUAGAGAUCUGGAGGAAUACCGGUGGCGAAGGCGGCCCCCUGGACAAAGACUGACGCUCAGGUGCGAAAGCGUGGGGAGCAAACAGGAUUAGAUACCCUGGUAGUCCACGCUGUAAACGAUGUCGAUUUGGAGGUUGUGCCCUUGAGGCGUGGCUUCCGGAGCUAACGCGUUAAAUCGACCGCCUGGGGAGUACGGCCGCAAGGUUAAAACUCAAAUGAAUUGACGGGGGCCCGCACAAGCGGUGGAGCAUGUGGUUUAAUUCGAUGCAACGCGAAGAACCUUACCUGGUCUUGACAUCCACAGAACUUUCCAGAGAUGGAUUGGUGCCUUCGGGAACUGUGAGACAGGUGCUGCAUGGCUGUCGUCAGCUCGUGUUGUGAAAUGUUGGGUUAAGUCCCGCAACGAGCGCAACCCUUAUCCUUUGUUGCCAGCGGUCCGGCCGGGAACUCAAAGGAGACUGCCAGUGAUAAACUGGAGGAAGGUGGGGAUGACGUCAAGUCAUCAUGGCCCUUACGACCAGGGCUACACACGUGCUACAAUGGCAUAUACAAAGAGAAGCGACCUCGCGAGAGCAAGCGGACCUCAUAAAGUAUGUCGUAGUCCGGAUUGGAGUCUGCAACUCGACUCCAUGAAGUCGGAAUCGCUAGUAAUCGUAGAUCAGAAUGCUACGGUGAAUACGUUCCCGGGCCUUGCACACAAAGCCCGUCA